GAUUAUUGGUGUAUGCUUCUUAUGUACGUUUCUACUACUAUCUAUCUCUCAAUCUUUCAAUCAUCGUUCCUUUCCUCAUUCAAAACCCUAAUCGCUGAAUCGGCUCUUAUGGAGUUCAAUUGACCCUGUGCGACAAUGUUUAAUCAAUCUUCAAUACUCAAUAGUGAACAUCCACGGUAAUGAUUCCUUGAUCUUCUUCUUUUAUGAUGGAUUGAAUGAAUCAUCGACGAUUUCUUAUAUCUUUCAUCGACUCAUAAUAGUUGGGUGUCAGUUUUUCUAUUUCAAAUUCCAUAAACCCUAACCAAACCCAGUCCCCCCUAAAUUUAUCGUCUCCUCCACCCCAACACAUAAACCCUAAUUCACCACAUAACGACCUGCAAUCGUUUAACAGAAAGCAUGUUGCGAAGGAACGUGAGGCUGAGAAGAGAGUAUCUGUACAGGAAAAGUUUGGAAGGCAAAGAACGGUUGCUCUAUGAGAAGAAACGCAAAAUCAAAUAAGCUCUUGAAGAGGGGAAACCGAUUUCGACUGAGCUUCGGAAUGAAGAUGCUACUCUGCGUCAAGAGAUUGACCUUGAAGAUGAACGAACUGCAGAUGAAGAUCAACCAUAGUGUAUGAGAACUUUGUUAAUUAUUGGGCUCGCAAAUCUGCAGAUAACGCGAGGCUGCAGCUAGCUAGAUUAUGCACGUUUUAACCUCAAGCUAUGAAGCACGAAUUGUAACUGUUGUGAUUAUUACAUCAACAUAAAAAAAGCUAUGUUGGCAGGGUAUAUUAUGCAGGUUUCCCACUUAAAGCGCACCAAACAUUAUUUGAUUGUGAAAGAGAAUCAAGUUAGUUGCUUUUACCCUAAAACUAUUGGUUGAUUUGAAUGACCUUAAAUUUGAUUUAGUCAGAUGAAACUAGAGAUCUUAAUGUUUGAAAAAGGUAAUGCAGUCUAUUUUUUAUGGUUUUAUAUCUUCUUUAAAUGAGUGAAGGAAUUUAUUCAAUCAAUUCGCACUUUAACUGUUCAAAACUAAACUAUUUCUUUUUGUUUAUGUGAGAUUAUAACUAUACCAGUAGAACUCAAAAUAUACACGUCGAUCAAUUAGUACUUAUAUAGAAGCUUUAUUAUAAAUGAAAAUCAUGAAUCAUCUUCUAUGAUGAGGUUGGUUAUACUUCUAAAUAGGGAUGAGCAAAUGGUACCGGGUACCCGUACCUAACUGGUACCGGUACUGAAUUUACCGAACCGGGUACAUUUUCGGUACCAAUUCGGUACCAACUUUUGACAUUUUCGGUAUCGGUCCGGAACGGUCCCGGUUCGGUAUCGGUAUUUACCCUUAAAUACCGGUAUCGAACCUUACCAUACCGGGUAUAUUCGGUACCGGUACCCACUUUUGGGGAUUUUCGGUACCGGUUGGUACCAAGCUCAUCCCUAUUCUCAAUGUUUGUCCAGAGUUCAGUUUUUUAAUAGAUAUCGUCAAGUUACAUAAAAACAUCAAACGUUGUGGGCAAAGUAUUUAAAGAUUUUCAAAUUAUAAUGUAAUUUCAUUUUUCUUUUUUAUAUGUUGUAUGUAACGUAAUUUCAUUUAUAAUAAUAUUUAUAGAAUUUAUGAUUUAUAUACUUUAGGAUACGAUAAUCAGGUAGUUAAUCUUUUUUUUUGCUAUUUUUUAAUCAUGUUGGUAAUCUGUUCAAAUAUAGUUCGUUCUUUGAUCUCUUCUUUGUCCAGCGGUGCUUUGUUAAUCGCUGCUUGGUGCGAACCCUAUAUCCAUCCCUGCUUUUUUGGUGAAUUGCAAAUUGAUUGUCUUUGUAGUCUUGAUUUGAGAUAUGUGAAUCUAUGGUGUUGAGUUGAUUGAUUCAGUUCUGGAUUUUCAGACGAAGGAGGUUGAGAAUUGUGAUUGUGAUUGUUUACAAGAGAUUGCUAGGGCCUGGUUAGCUGGGUUUGUUGAUUUGGAUGACGGGCUUGGUUGAUGAUCAUAAAUUCAUUCGGAUUGGAAGCUAUUCACACCGAACAACUUUGACAAAGAUGUUUGGAAACUAUUCGAAUCAUUUACCAGGCUGUUUGGGGAUGAAGGAAAGUUGGCAACACUGGGCAUUAGCUGGUCAAUGGUCAAAUGCAGCUUGAAAGGCAAGAUCCAUGGUACCGGUACCCAAUUUUUAGUAUUUCGCUACAGGUACGCAAACUUGAAGAGCAUGAAAGAGUUGAUUUACAUGAGAGUUUACAACAACCUUAACAUGUAGAUUAUUCCUUUGACUGAUUACCCCAUUGUGGAGAAAGUUUUUUGUUUCUUAACUUCUAUGUUUAAUUGUUAGACCGAGUAUCACAUAAGUUACUAAUAAAACAUCUGAUGUUGAAUUCAAAGAAGUUUUUAGAUAUUUAUAAAAUAUUCAUGUAUUAUGUUA